rnacentral:rRNA from 1 species
CCAGACAGCCAGGAUGUUGGCUUAGAAGCAGCCAUCAUUUAAAGAAAGCGUAAUAGCUCACUGGUCGAGUCGGCCUGCGCGGAAGAUGUAACGGGGCUAAACCAUGCACCGAAGCUGCGGCAGCGACGCUGAUGCGUUGUUGGGUAGGGGAGCGUUCUGUAAGCCUGCGAAGGUGGCCUGUGAGGGUUGCUGGAGGUAUCAGAAGUGCGAAUGCUGACAUAAGUAACGAUAAAGCGGGUGAAAAGCCCGCUCGCCGGAAGACCAA